CCUACGGGCGGCAGCAGUGAGGAAUAUUGGUCAAUGGACGAGAGUCUGAACCAGCCAAGUAGCGUGAAGGAUGACUGCCCUAUGGGUUGUAAACUUCUUUUAUAUGGGAAUAAAAUGUUCCACGUGUGGGAUUUUGUAUGUACCAUAUGAAUAAGGAUCGGCUAACUCCGUGCCAGCAGCCGCGGUAAUACGGAGGAUCCGAGCGUUAUCCGGAUUUAUUGGGUUUAAAGGGAGCGUAGGUGGAUUGUUAAGUCAGUUGUGAAAGUUUGCGGCUCAACCGUAAAAUUGCAGUUGAAACUGGCAGUCUUGAGUACAGUAGAGGUCGGCGGAAUGCGUGGUGUAGCGGUGAAAUGCUUAGAUAUCACGAAGAACUCCGAUUGCGAAGGCAGUUCACUGGACUGCAACUGACACUGAGGCUCGAAAGUGUGGGUAUCAAACAGGAUUAGAUACCCGUGUAGUC
rnacentral:rRNA from 1 species